rnacentral:rRNA from 1 species
GCGAAUGGCUCAUUAAAUCAGCUAUGGUUUAUUGGAUCGUACCCGUUAAAUGGAUAACUGUAAUAACUCUAGAGCUAAUACAUGCCAUGAUGCCCUGACCCUUUGGGGGAUGGGUGCACUUAUUAGACUAGAAGUCAACCAUGUAUGGUCGCAAGGCUGUGCGUGUUGUUGUUCUGGUGACUCUGGAUAAUUGUUACAGAUCGCAGUCGGCCUUGUGCCGGCGACGGGUCCUUCAAAUGUCUGCCCUAUCAACUUUCGAUGGUAGGUGACCUGCCUACCAUGGUGAUAACGGGUAACGGGGAAUCAGGGUUCGAUUCCGGAGAGGGAGCCUGAGAAACGGCUACCACUUCCAAGGGAGGCAGCAGGCGCGCAAAUUACCCACUCCCAGUACGGGGAGGUGGUGACGAAAAAUAUCGAUGCGGGACUCCUUAAAGAGGCUCCGUAAUCGGAAUGAGUGACAUAUAAAUCCUUUCACGAGGAUCAAUUGGAGGGCAAGUCUGGUGCCAGCAGCCGCGGUAACUCCAGCUCCAAUAGCGUAUAUUAAAGUUGCUGCAGUUAAAAAGCUCGUAGUUGGAUCUCGGUAUCACUGUUGCCUGUCGGACCUUGGGCAGUUGUCUAUUGGUGCAUGGGUUGUACCUGUGUUGCCGUAGUUGGCUGUUCCAAGCUGGCGAGGUGUCGGUGUCACCUUUCAGCCAUGUCUGUGGUGAAAUACCCACAGGUGUAGGCSAGUGUUGGGCGGUGCUCUGCGUAAGUGGGGUUCGUCGGCUCGUUUGCAUGCCUUUGGAUGCCCUUAAAAAGGUGUCUGCGGGCGGAUGGCACGUUUACUUUGAACAAAUUUGAGUGCUCAAACCAGGCCGAUGUUGCCUGAAAAGUUUUGCAUGGAAUAAUGGAAUAGGACUUCGGUUCUAUUUUGUUGGUUUUCGGAUCCGAAGUAAUGAUCAAAAGAGACAGGCGGGGACGUUUGUAUGGCUGCGCUAGAGGUGAAAUUCAUGGACCGUAGCCAGACAAACUAAAGCGAAAGCAUUCGUCAAGCAUGUUUUCAUUGGCCAUGAGCGAAAGUCAGAGGCUCGAAGACGAUCAGAUACCGUCCUAGUUCUGACCAUAAACGAUGCCAACUGAUGAUCCGUGGUGGUAGUCUAUUAACCUUCCCCACGGGCAGUCCCCGGGAAACCUUUAAGUCUUUGGGUUCCGGGGGAAGUAUGGUUGCAAAGCUGAAACUUAAAGGAAUUGACGGAAGGGCACCACCAGGAGUGGAGCCUGCGGCUUAAUUUGACUCAACACGGGAAAACUCACCCGGCCCGGACACUAUGAGGAUUGACAGAUUGAAAGCUCUUUCUUGAUUUGGUGGUUGGUGGUGCAUGGCCGUUCUUAGUUGGUGGAGCGAUUUGUCUGGUUAAUUCCGAUAACGAACGAGACUCCAGCCUGCUAAUUAGUGCAUUCGUCCACUGUGCCUGUGUAGGCGGCGUUUGGCGAGGCUGCUCCUGUUUUCUGCUUGGAGGUCGAUUUGCUCUCGGGUAGAUUGGCGUCUGGGUGGUUGGGUAGUGGCUGGUUCGGCGUUAGCUUCCGGGUGCGGCGCGGGUGUCUACUUCUUAGAGGGACAAACGGGAAAAGCCGCACGAAAUUGAGCAAUAACAGGUCUGUGAUGCCCUUAGAUGUCCGGGGCCGCACGCGCGCUACAAUGACGGUGGCAAUGAGUCUGACCCCCUGGCCCGAAAGGGUUGGGUAAACUGGUCAAUCACCGUCAUGAUCAGGGAUCGGGGCUUGGAAUUGUUCCCCGUGAACGAGGAAUUCCUAGUAAGUGCAAGUCAUAAGCUUGCGCUGAUUACGUCCCUGCCCUUUGUACACACCGCCCGUCGCUACUACCGAUUGAAUGGUUUAGUAAGGUCCUUGGAUUGGUGCCAUUGUGGUGGUUGCCGAAAGGUGUCUGCCCGACAGGUGCUGAGAAGACGACCGAACUUGAUCAUUUAGAGGAAGUAAAAGUCGUAACAAG